CAGUAUCGUAGCCAAUGAGGUUUAUCCGAGGCGCGAUUAUUGCUAAUUGAAAACUUUUCCCAAUACCCCGCCAUGACGACUUGAAAUAUAGUCGGCAUUGGCAAUUUUUGACAGUCUCUACGGAGACUGAAUAAUUUUGUUUCUAAAGAAAGAUUGUUUUUGUUCUUUUGAAUCAUGAGUGUAGUAACCGAGUCCGCUCUGAAUACUUGAAUAGUCUUGUUCUUUAUACUUAUCGACUCUCAACUAUGUUGAGGGUCAGGUUUGUGAUUAUUUUUACUUCGAUGUAGGUAGGGUAUGGUUAAAUUGCUGAUUUUUCUAGGCGGAGCUGUAAUUUGGAGUCUUUGUACACUGCGUAAAUGUAGUACUACGUUUGAGAACUUUACAUCAUAGGGUGUUGCCCCUAACUUUAUCUCAGCAUUUGUUUUCUGGAGAGCCUAGCCUGACACAGAGGGAGUUGGUGGCUGGAUUCUUGAGGGACAGGGAGAGAUUGAAGCUGUGUCUGCAGAGCAUUUCAACUUAAAAUUGGCCAACUACCAUCACCUAUCCUAAAGUGUGAGGAAGGACAAUUAAUAACUACCUCAGUGGGAAUUAAUUUGAUAAUAGCUCAUCUGGGGACCCUUCCACCCUGUGCAGAAUCUUGGCAAAGACUCUAGGGACAGUGGAUUUGUGAAGACUAAAAGAUAUGUAACCUCACAAGUAUUGGAUUUGGGCUCAAAGGCUGGUCUGUGACCUGCACGGUCCACAGGGCAACCCCAGGAAAUGUCCUCCAAAGGAUCCGGCCCUUGCCUGGUACUGGUUUAGGGUCCUCCCGGGAGGGGACCUACUGGGAGAAUCAGACUUUCCAGUGGACACGGAGGCAUAUGAUGACCGAGUGACUGAUGAAUGGACCGACACAUCUGUCCGUUUGAAGGUCAGGAAGUGACUUUGAACGACAGAGACUAGCGGGAGGGCCUGAGGGCCUGGAGGCCUCCCGCAGGCCCACUCGUCCGCCAGGGGGCGCCACAGCCACGCCCCGCGUCGCC
ensembl:lncRNA